GUGAAUCAUCGAAUCUUUGAACGCAAAUUGCACUCUCCGGUUUUCCGGGAGAGUAUGCCUGUUUGAGGGUCUUUUUAAAAAAUAAUCGAGGCUGCUUCUGUGGUGGCGCUUCGGAGUUGGGUCAGCUUUUAGCUUUCGGUUGUAAGCGACCUAAAAUUUUUUUUCUAUUUCUACGAAGUUGUCUAAUUAUUUCGUGUACGUUCACUACAGCGAAUUCAUAGUUUGGGUGCCUGCCGCUU
rnacentral:misc_RNA from 1 species